AUGAUGAUGGUAUGGCUUCAUACAUCGACAGAUCAAUCGGAGCACGGCAACAUAUACAAUGUCCAGACACAAACAAUAUUCCAUCAUGAUGCUGUGAUGGGUUUCCCUGAUGCUGCUAUGAUUCCACCAGUGCACGGGCGAGGAGUACCUGCCUGGAGUACAGCAUGGCGGGGGAGCAGUGAGGAACAGGCUGGGCAGCGCGGCGGCCAAGAUGUGGUUGAGAGGACCAGGCCGGUGCGGCGAGGACCAAAUUGGGAGCGCAGAGGCGGCGGCCAGGCUGGGGCGGAGGCGACCAAAUUGGGAGCGGAGGCGACCAAAUUGGGAGCGGCGGCGACCAAACUGGGCGAGGACGAGCACCUGGACAGCGGGGAAGAGCCUGGCGGAGGGGCCUGA
rnacentral:rRNA from 1 species